rnacentral:lncRNA from 10 species
GAGCCUCCACUCUCAUUAUUCUAUUGAGAUCCAUGGAAUUAGGAAUUCCCAUCCUCAGUUUCUUCUUGGAGGUACAGAGCAGUAGCAUUCCAUGAAGGAGGAACUUCAAAAGAGAUUGUGUAAUUCAAAGGGUGCCGGACCAGUCAAAGAAUCCUGCGUCAAAAUCAAGAGAAUGAACAAGCCUUCAUCGCCAUGGCACAUUUAUAUAAAAAGAAAGGGAGAGAAGUUGGGGGAAGUCAGGGACCCCAAACAGAGGGACUGGCUGAAGCCAUGGCAGAAGAACGUGGAUUGUGAAGAUUUCAUGGACAUUUAUUAGUUCCCCAAAUUAAUACUUUUAUAAUUUCUUAUGCCUGUCUUUACUGCAAUCUCUAAACAAAAAUUGUGAAGAUUUCAUGGACACUUAUCACCUCCCCAAUCAAUACCCUUGUGAUUUCCUAGGCCUGUCUUUACUUUAAUCUCUUAAUCCUGUCAUCUUAUAAGCUAAGGAGGAUGUAUGUUGUCUCAGGACCAUGUGAUAAUUGCG